rnacentral:rRNA from 1 species
AUUGAACGCUGGCGGCAUGCUUUACACAUGCAAGUCGAACGGUAACAGGGGCUUCGGUCUGCUGACGAGUGGCGAACGGGUGAGUAAUGCGUCGGAACGUGCCGAGUAAUGGGGGAUAACGCAUCGAAAGGUGUGCUAAUACCGCAUACGCUCUGAGGAGGAAAGCUGGGGAUCGAAAGACCUGGCGUUAUUCGAGCGGCCGACGUCUGAUUAGCUAGUUGGUGAGGUAAAGGCUCACCAAGGCGACGAUCAGUAGCGGGUCUGAGAGGAUGAUCCGCCACACUGGGACUGAGACACGGCCCAGACUCCUACGGGAGGCAGCAGUGGGGAAUUUUGGACAAUGGGCGCAAGCCUGAUCCAGCCAUGCCGCGUGUCUGAAGAAGG